AUUGAACGCUGGCGGCAGGCCUAACACAUGCAAGUCGAGCGAGCGGCGGACGGGUGAGUAAUGUAUGGGGAUCUGCCUGAUAGAGGGGGAUAACUACUGGAAACGGUGGCUAAUACCGCAUACCAUCGGAUGAGCCCAUAUGGGAUUAGCUAGUAGGUGGGGUAAAGGCUCACCUAGGCGACGAUAUCUAGCUGGUCUGAGAGGAUGAUCGGCCACACUGGAACUGAGCCACGGUCCAGACUCCUACGGGAGGCAGCAGUGGGGAAUAUUGCACAAUGGACGGAAGGCUGACCUAGCCACGCCGCGUGGAUGAAGAAGGGUUUCGGAUCGUAAAGUUCUUUUGGUGGGGAAGCGGUACCUGAAGAAGAAGCAACGGCUAACUCCGUGCCAGCAGCCGCGGUAAUUC
rnacentral:rRNA from 1 species